GGCCCAGCGUUGUCCGAGUUUGGCCGGUGUAGGCCAUCAUAGAAACCACAAACAGUAUUUGCCAAUAUCAUAACUGGAACUGGACAUCUUUCCAGCUGAAGAUUGAGGACAGCUUUUACAGGCAGACUUUGCAGUGCCUCCGUGUGCGACUACCUUGAGCAGCAGUUUGAUGGACUUUGCAGGGAAAAUGCCGUGCAGUGAGGCGUAGGGGAUUGUCUACAGCAGGGCGACCCCUAGUGGAGGGGCGCCGAGGGGUG